rnacentral:lncRNA from 1 species
UGGGAAGCGCGGGCGCGCGGGCGCGCGGGCGGGCCGAGCUUACACGCCCGGGAAGCGGCCGCAUCUCGCGCUUCCCGCUGGGCGCCUGGGGGGCGGUGAGGCCGGUUGCGCAGUCCCGAGGGAGGCAGCCGCGGGAGAGGAACAGCAAAUGACCGAGCAGAGGGACGGCUGGCCCAGCCAAUCCUGCAGCCGCUGCAGCACUUGUUGUUCCCCAAACACAGGCAUUCAGGUGCAAGCACAGAGAGGAGGGGGCUGCCGGCCCACAUCCCCUCCCCCACCGUGGCCCCCUUGCUGUUCUCCUUGGAAGGGCAGCCCUGCCUGGGACUGGGUGGGCAGAGGCUGCCGCCCCUCCUUGCUGCCCCGCGUGGGAAGAAGAAUGCAGAGCCAGCUGGAAGGGAGGAGGCUGGCAGUGAGAGGAGGGAGCAGACGACCCAGAAUAGCAAAGAAGACAGAAGUCUGCACACCCAGAGCUGCUUUUAGCUGGUAAUGGUAAGCCUGGCUCCAGGACUUUUUCUUCACACCUCCCCCCAUACACAUUUUCUCUUUGUCGUCCUCAGAAGCCCUCUCAAAAUACCUUUUCAUUUGCAGAGCUUGAGGCGGCCCCAUACUAAAUGGGCUUAUUAAAGCCAAUGCCGAGA